GGCACAAUCAAAAUUGGAAGAAAUGCACAUGGAGGAGAAGGAUGUCCAGAACAAUCUGCAAAGAAAACUUCGUGGUCAAUUGCUUUUCUUUGGCAUCACUAUGGGGCUGCUGACUGAGAUCACCAAUUCAAGGCAAAACUGAUCCUUCUAAGAUAUGAAGCUGAAAUUAAGUCAAAUGCCUAUUGGCUUGGAUUGUUGGGCCACUUGCAGGCGGCUUUUGUUCCAAGGAAGGACAUAUCAUGCAUCAAAGAUCUUAUAUCACAAUAUGAAGCUGCCAGCAUUGAAGGCCUUGCUUAUGAUCAGUUGAAAGCAGAUGAUAAUUCUUUAUAUUCAUGUGUUGGGAUUCCUGGGUCUCAGGCUGUUAACGAAAUUACCAGUGAGGAUGAAUCGCAUGAAGGCUUUCCUGGAGUUAUUCCCAUGGGACGUGUUUUAUCUACAAUUUCCCGGCCUACAGCAUGAGCUUCCUAGAUCACACUUUCUUUCUGUCUUGCUGUCUUGUAGGGAAUAUAUACUGAACAUCGAAGCAUCUUGACGUGAUGAAGGAACAGACAGACAAACGUUUGCCAGCUCAAAUUGUAACAGACAACCCCGAGUGCGUUAGUGCAGUC